AUUAAGCCCGCGUUAGGGAUUGUAGUGGAUAGCCCACAGUAAGUCCACCAAAUCCUUUUGGUAGACUUGCGAGGACUUGGAACGGAAAGCCCGACCCUCU
rnacentral:sRNA from 1 species